rnacentral:rRNA from 1 species
UUCCGGUUGAUCCCGCCGGACCUGACUGCUAUCGGAUUGAUACUAAGCCAUGCGAGUCUUUGCAGUAAUGCAAGGCAUACGGCUCAGUAACACGUAGUCAACUUACCCUAUGGACGAGGAUAAUCUCGGGAAACUGAGCAUAAUACUCGAUAGAUCAUAAUGCCUGGAAUGGUUUAUGGUUAAAAUGAUUCGUCGCCAUAGGAUGGGACUGCGGCCUAUCAGCUUGUUGGUGAGGUAAUGGCCCACCAAGGCGAUUACAGGUACGGGCUCUGAGAGGAGAAGCCCGGAGAUGGGUACUGAGACAAGGACCCAGGCCCUAUGGGGCGCAGCAGGCGAGAAAACUUUGCAAUGUGCGAAAGCACGACAAGGUUAAUCCGAGUGAUUUCUGCUAAAGAAAUCUUUUGCAAGUCAUAAAACCACUAGUGAAUAAGGGGUGGGCAAGUUCUGGUGUCAGCCGCCGCGGUAAAACCAGCACCUCAAGUGGUCAGGAGGAUUAUUGGGCCUAAAGCAUCCGUAGCCUGCUCUGUAAGUUUUCGGUUAAAUCCAUGUGCUCAACGCAUGGGCUGCCGAAAAUACUGCAUAGCUAGGGAGUGGGAGAGGUAGACGGUACUCGGUAGGAAGGGGUAAAAUCCUUUGAUCUAUCGAUGACCACCUGUGGCGAAGGCGGUCUACCAGAACACGUUCGACGGUGAGGGAUGAAAGCUGGGGGAGCAAACCGGAUUAGAUACCCGGGUAGUCCCAGCUGUAAACGAUGCAGACUCGAUGAUGCAUUGGCAUAUAGCCAGUGCAGUGUCGCAGGGAAGCCGUUAAGUCUGCCGCCUGGGAAGUACGUACGCAAGUAUGAAACUUAAAGGAAUUGGCGGGGGAGCACCACAAGGGGUGAAGCCUGCGGUUCAAUUGGAUUCAACGCCGGG